AGAGUUUGAUCAUGGCUCAGGACUAACGCUGGCGGCGUGCCUAACACAUGCAAGUCGAACGCAUCUGUGCUUCGGUACAGAUGAGUGGCGAACGGGUGAGUAACACGUGAGUAACUCCCCUUGGGGAGGGGGAUAACCAUCUGAAAAGGUGGCUAAUACCCCAUAUUCUCCUUUUUUGCCAAAGAAAGGAGGAAAGAUGGCGUAAGCUAUCACCCCGAGAGAGGCUCGCGUCCCAUCAGCUAGUUGGUAGGGUAAUGGCCUACCAAGGCUAUGACGGGUAGCUGGUCUGAGAGGAUGGUCAGCCACACUGGGACUGAGGCACGGCCCAGACUCCUACGGGAGGCAGCAGUGAGGAAUCUUGGGCAAUGGGCGAAAGCCUGACCCAGCGACGCCGCGUGGAGGAAGAAGGCCUUCGGGUCGUAAACUCCUGUUCGGGGAGAAGAACAGGAGAGGAGUGAAUAACUUCUCUCCCUGACGGUAUCCCCGGAGAAAGCUCCGGCUAAUUACGUGCCAGCAGCCGCGGUAAUACGUAAGGAGCGAGCGUUGUCCGGAUUUACUGGGCGUAAAGAGCUCGUAGGUGGUUUCUUAGGUCUCACGUGAAAUUCCCUGGCUCAACUGGGGAGGGUCGUGGGAAACCGAGAAGCUAGAGGGCAGGAGAGGAGAGUGGAAUUCCCGGUGUAGCGGUGAAAUGCGUAGAGAUCGGGAGGAACACCAGUGGUGAAGACGGCUCUCUGGACUGUCCCUGACACUGAGGAGCGAAAGCCAGGGGAGCAAACCGGAUUAGAUACCCGGGUAGUCCUGGCUGUAAACGAUGGGUACUAGGUGUGGGGGGUUCGACCCCCUCCGUGCCGCAGUUAACGCAUUAAGUACCCCGCCUGGGGAGUACGGCCGCAAGGUUGAAACUCAAAUGAAUUGACGG
rnacentral:rRNA from 1 species